rnacentral:lncRNA from 1 species
CCUUUUACUAUUAUUCUGAUUGAUCUGAUAUGGCGCCACGAUCUGUACGACGUCCCAAACGUGGAGUUAUGGUGGAUUCAUUACGAUCUGGACCAUACAGGUAAACCCAAUGGGUUAUAUCUGUUUUAUUUAGAAUCAACAUGGUGGCUCGGAAGGAACCCCCAAUUAGUAAAUAUAUAAGACAAGAUGCAAAGAUAUGGUUUUGUUCCAAUUCCACAAGUCAAAGCCUUUUUUUCCUUCUCUUUUUACCUUUGCUUCCAUAUUCGUGUUUGGAUUGGACCAUACCGAUACUAGCAUCGGUGGUGGCAUGGCAGUGCGAGCCCCACCGAGUAGUUUGCCAGGCUGCAAGCUCUCGACGUGACCUGUGGAGAGCUAUCGACGAGCUUGCAACACUCUUAGGUGCAACAAUGCCCAGCCCCGCAACAAGUGCAGUGAUGCAACAAUGGCCGCCGCACUCUUUGUAUGUGGUUCAGUGUCGAUGUUUCUGCAGCAGCUGAUGCUUCAAAAUCCAAUACUGAUUCCGCAGUUAUGCGCAGGUAGAUGGGCAUUAUCAUUAGUUGCGGAUCAGUGCUUGCGCAUGGUUCAAUUAUUUCCUUCUUUUUUAUCAAUCAGGUUCUUGUUCAGAAAGAACACAGCUUGGCAUGGACAGCUGUGACUUGACAGUUGAGAGGAGCAGGAUGCAAGAACAAAAAUAAUCUCAGGAAAGGGAAAAUAAAUGGAAGUUACCACAAAAGGGUAGAUCAUCAACCCAAAAAUCUCAGGUAUACCAUCAAUUAGAAUCUAGGUUAUGUGCGAUAAGUAAUGUGGGUAUGUUCAUAAGAGGCUCAAAUAAUCAAAUAUCGUACGUGGAAUAGAGGGACUCCUUAGAACCAUGAAUGGGGAGCUUACGUGCCUUUAGUUUUGAGCUGUGAAUCUGUGAUUUAGUUGUCGAUUUUGUACGGAGCGCUUUAUUCUGAAACCCUUGGAAGAACAUUUUUUUGUUGCAUGCACAUGAUUCUAGUUUGUUCUAACUAGUAAGUAUAUCUGCAGGACUGAUGAACUCGCUUUGCUUCUGGUGUCUCUUUUUGGGCCAUGCAUCUGGAGCAUUUGAGGAGAAAUGGAGGAUGGGGCAAAAAGAUGGUGCCGCAAAUAGUGCUUGAGCAUUGGUAUUAUUUACGGGGAUUCAUUGGUACUUGAGCAUUGGUAUUAGUAUUUGAAUCGAUGUACUUUGCUACAUAUGUUGAUGUUAAGCGUGUCCAAGCAAGACAUGAUGGGAGCAAGGUGAAUUUUGGCGAAUGUUUGUAUGUAAGAUGCUUGUUGUUGUGUGUGUUUGGAAAAUGGUCGUAUACUGUUGUUGAAACUCUCAGUGGUUGCAGCACAUUAUCCUCUCUGCUCAACAUGUUCAUGGAUCUGAUGAUUCAUUGCUGCUUUCAUUGCUCGUGCUGGUUUUGGGUAUUCACAUUUUUUUGUUUUGUUGGAUGCCUUUUGAAAGCCGCGUUUUGAGGCAAUCAGCUAAAACGAAAGUGGCAAGCUUCAUUUUUCAUGCCGAAAUUCCUUUAUCCAACAUCUUUACAAGAGAUAUGUAUCUAUUGAAUGCCCUGUUAGAUU